CGUCAUGGUCAACAAGUGCAUGUCAUGGUGAUGGCAGGAGUGAGGUGAGGACGUCAUUGGUCAAUGGAGGUGCAUGUCAUGGUGAUGGCGGGAGUGAGGUGAGGACGUCAUUGGUCAAUGGAGAUGCAUGUCAUGGGGGAUUGGGCCACAUGUUGGGUGCUGUGUCCUCUAGACAUGCUUAGGUUUGGUCACAGAGGUCAGGAGCCCUUCCCUUGUUCACUGGGCCUGUGGUGGUCUGACAGCACACCACUAUGGGGAGAUGCUUUGGUGUCAUAGACAGUGACGUCUCUUGGUGACACACAGCUGCCACCAGGGCCAGGAGCUAGGUUGGGCCCUCUCGUGAUGCUUCCGUUCUGUAGAUGGCGUGGCCUGCUCCCAAAUGCUAGGUGUCUGCACUGACUUAUCUGUGGAGGCUUUCCCAGGACUUCACCCCGUGUCCUUACCUGCCACAUACACAUCAAGGACCCUGGGGGCUGCUGGGUUUUGUGGCCAAAGUGGCAGGGCCAUUGCUGUCACAUCAUGGGUGUGUUAGAGACCCCACUCAUGCUCUGAAACCUCUCCGACGUGGCAGCGUUUUGAGUCACAGCGUAUUUCCUGAGUGGCUUAUACCAUCUUCAGAACGCAAAGCCGCCUACCUGCAGUAGAAGUGUGAGGUGCAAUCACUAACUUGUCUCUUACCUUGGAGUCCUUGUCCUGGCAUAGCCCAGACCAC